AUUUUGAAUACUGCUUACUAAAAAUAUCUAUACAACUCCUAUAUAUACAUUUAAUUGCAUGCAGAAUAUUUCUCAAAUAAGAUAGUCCUAUUAAUACUAUUUACUGAUACUACUAUUAUCGCCAUUAUACUUUUUAUAUAUAUAUAUAUAGUUUAUGUUAUCUGUUAAAUAUCUGUAACAGUUAGAUUUUUUUCAACAAAAACCAUUUAUUUAUUUUCAAGUUUGUUUACAAUCUUUUGCAAUUAGAUAAUAUUUAGUUAUGUAAAUUGAAUACAUUAUCCUUUUUCCCAAUUACAAUGUUUCAUCAAUUUUCCACUUAUCAUAUUUAAAAACAGACAACAUAAAGAAUUAAUGAACUCUUUAUAUCUUAUUAUAUAUACUGUGCAAACAAAUCAAAUUUCAUUGAUCUAUAAGAACAGCAACACUAUAAUUUAUUACACGUAUAUGACGUAAUAUGGCAAAUUGAAGAAGUGUUUAUAUGUAUAUUGAUAUUGCAGAUAAUUAUUACCUGUAUUGUAUACUAUAUUGAAAUCUAUAAAGUUUAACAUGAUACAUAUCCGUAUCUAAAUGCUAUUCACAUUCUCUACUUUAUUCAUAUAUCUAUGAUACUUAUUUCAGCUGAUUAUCAGCUGCGAAUUACGAACGAUCAAAUUUGCAUCUGUACCAAACCCAUGUCAAUUCAAUGAUAAAUAAACAAUUCGUUUAUUGCGCUAAUAGUUAAUGUAAUAUAUUUAUGCUCGAUUUUAUGAUGAGAAGAGUAACAUAAAUUAUAUAGGAUAGUAUAUAACCGUAUUUGAGAAAGAAAGUACAACUUCAAACAAGUACACAAAUAUCAUGAUCCAUUCUACUUUUCCAUUUCUCACAACUUCCAUUGUAAUAUCUCUGUAAUUUUGUUUCAUAACCAAUUCUUGCGUGUAUUUCAUGCACCAGCACAAAUUCUAUAGGAUAUUUGUUAACGAUCAAAAUAAAAUGAAAUAUAUCGAUAACAAUUUGUAGUACAAUACUGGUGCAAACACUUAGUUUCAAGAAAAGAAUGUAAAUAAGAAUAUUAAUGGCUAACUUUUUGACAAUUCUUAAAACUCAAAGAAACACUCGUACAUGUAUGUUACAAUUAAACGGCAUAAAAAAAUCAAGAUCAUAUGAAUGAAAAAGAAAAAAAAAGAAGA